CGCGAGUCCUGAGAGAUGGGUCUCCUCGGCUGCGGGCGACGCGCCAGGUUACCCAGGAGACGGGUUAUUUGGAAGUGGGAAGGGCAGGUUUGUGGGGGGCACUCCGGGCACCUCCCACUACCCCUCUGGAGGCCGACCUGAACACCUAGGCACAGUGAGGGUCACGGAGGUGGGAGCGCCGGGAGGUGGGAGGUGUGGGGCUGGUGCGCGAGCUCAGCCAGAUGCUCGGGGCGGCUUCAGCUGUGCCUCCGGGCUGGGGACAGGACUCUCUUCCUCCCCAACCCCCAGCCUGGAGCUCAGAUCUGUAAACAAAUUCUCGGUUCAACCCCGUCCCCCGCCGCUCCUGGGAGCCGGUCUCCGAGAAGGCGUCCGCCCCCACCCCGCAAUCUGCUAGGAGCCGCCGUAGUUCCCUGCCUUAUGCCACCCUCUCCGGCCCCGCCACACACACCCUCUGCCGCAAGAUCCAAGUCGCCCACCCCCGGGAUGGCUCGGGCAUGACCUCAUCUGCGGGCCGACUGGGAGGGAGGGCGUCGAAUCGGGGGAAGAGGGCCGUGAAGCCUCGCGGCGGGCGAGAAACUGCACAGCCACCUCCAUCACUCAUCUGCGUAAAGCCCGCGCCCCCAGCCCCGCGGCUGCGCCUCGUAAGGGAGGCUCCUCGGAGCGCAGCGGAGCAGAGGAGCCCCAUGGCAGAGAGGCCAUGACAUCUGGCCACGCCUCCCGGCCACAGGGCUGGCACAAGCAGGCUGCACAUGUCGUCGGAGCUGUUGGCUCCCCUUGCCCUGGGCUGUGCAGAGACAGCAAGGAGGCACUUGGUGAACUUCAUCUCAG
rnacentral:lncRNA from 1 species